GUCUCUUCUACCCGAGCCCCCCCUCCCCCCCAAGCAGAGAGACCCCAGCAGCAGCAGCAGCUGAUGAUGAAGAGAGAGGCAGUGGCAGAGGGGGGCACCUUUUUAUUUCUAUUUUUAAAGGGACAGGACACCAUUUUACCCCACUUCAACCUGAAUUGAGGGGGGGUGGGGGAAGACGGCUGAGUUCCUCCCCACCCUCCAGCUCUGAGCCCUGAGUGGGGGAUUGAGCCUGAGAGAGGAGAGGAGUUUCUUCUUCUUAGAAAACCCCCAUCCACGACUCCUACCCCCUCAGCCCCUCUACUCGCCUGCUUCCAGAGCCCCCUCCACCCUCCUUCUCUGUGGCCGUGAGAGAAGGAGAGAAAGAGACCAAAAGCCUCUUAGCAACACAGACCCUUUGCUGCUGCUGCUGCUACUGCUGCUGUUGCUGCUGCUGCUGCUGCUGCUGCUGCUUGGCCCUGGCUGGAGACAUCUCCCUACACCGGGAGCAGCCACUUCCCCAGCUCUCCUCCUCCUCCUUUGCCUCCUCCUCCUCCACUCCCCCCCUUUAUUACCCUUUGUGUCAUCCUCCACAGCUCCAGGGAAGGCACUCAAAAGUGGGGGGCAGGAAAGAUAACUUCUCCAAGAACCUGUGUAUUGGAUUGUAACUAAAUCAAGAUGUUUGAAAUCAGAAGAUCAUGAUCAGAGAGCAUCAGAGAUGUCCACUUUUGCCUCCAUAAGAUAGAUAUUGAAGGCUGUGUGGUUUAGAAAAUAUCUAUAGAAAUUAGACACUCAAGAGCCACAGAAAUAUACAAGAAAUCAAGAGCACAGAGUAUUUCCUUCCAUCAGUCCUCAGAACCCUGAAACGAUUCUAACUCGAUCAAGCACAGAGCACAGAGGAAGGCCCACCUUGGCAGAUGGCCACAGAGGAUGUCAACAAUUUCUUGGAGGCAAGCAAUUAAAUAUUUGUGGAAUGAGAUUUCUGUCUUUUAACUAUAUAAAAUCAAAUAGGGUUUGAGUGAAUAUUGGGUUUUUGUUAACAUGUCUAUUUGUCUCUUCACUUC